rnacentral:rRNA from 1 species
UUAGAGGAAGUAAAAGUCGUAACAAGGUCUCCGUUGGUGAACCAGCGGAGGGAUCAUUG